rnacentral:lncRNA from 1 species
CGGCUUUCCACAAUGGAAUGUAAGUGUUGGGGGUCAAGAAUAAAAGGUUCUAAGAAGCCAGAGAUACUGGAGGAACCAAGAUCAGGAAGAAUAUGCCAGGCAGGAGCACAGAGCAUUCCCCCUGGAAAUCAUACCUGUCAGCAAACCUGCAAGUCUUCAAUAGCUUCUUGAUAUGAAAAAGUUGCUCCUGAAGGUCCUAAAGCAAGAAGCCAACCAUUGGGAAUGAGAUGCCUGGCCACUGACAGUGUGUACAACAAACCUUAAAGUUAUUCGAAACAGGGGCUAGAGAGAGAUUGCUCAGAGGUUAAGAGCAGUGGCUGCUCUUCCAGAGGACCUGAGAUCAAUUCCCAGCAACCACAGGGUGGCUCACUACCAUAAAUGUAAUCCGACGCCCUCUUCUGGUAUGCAGGUGUACAUGAAGAUAGAGCACUCAUAUACAUUAAAUAAACAAAUCUUUUUUUAAAUGAUAUUUGAA